UACGUAGGUGGCAAGCGUUGUCCGGAUUUAUUGGGCGUAAAGGGAGCGCAGGCAGUGACUUAAGUCUGAUGUGAAAGCCCACGGCUCAACCGUGGAAGGUCAUUGGAAACUGGUCGACUUGAGUGCAGAAGAGGGAAGUGGAAUUCCAUGUGUAGCGGUGAAAUGCGUAGAGAUAUGGAGGAACACCAGUGGCGAAGGCGGCUUCCUGGUCUGUAACUGACACUGAGGCGCGAAAGCGUGGGGAGCAAACAGGAUUAGAUA
rnacentral:rRNA from 1 species